UACCAGUUGGAAACGACUGUUAAUACCGCAUAAUGUCUACGGACCAAAGUGUGGGACCUUUCGGGCCACAUGCUAUCGGAUGCGCUACGUGGGAUUAGCUAGUUGGUGAGGUAAUGGCUCACCAAGGCGACGAUCCCUAGCUGGUUUGAGAGGAUGAUCAGCCACACUGGAACUGAGACACGGUCCAGGCUCCUACGGGAGGCAGCAGUGGGGAAUAUUGGACAAUGGGCGCAAGCCUGAUCCAGCCAUGCCGCGUGUGUGAAGAAGGCCUUCGGGUUGUAAAGCACUUUCAGUUGGGAGGAAGGGUUGUGUGUUAAUAGUACACAGCCUUGACGUUACCAACAGAAGAAGCACCGGCUAACUCUGUGCCAGCAGCCGCGGUAAUACAGAGGGUGCAAGCGUUAAUCGGAAUUACUGGGCGUAAAGCGCACGUAGGCGGUUUUUUAAGUCAGAUGUGAAAGCCCCGGGCUCAACCUGGGAAUUGCAUUUGAAACUGGAAAACUAGAGUGUGUGAGAGGGGGGUAGAAUUCCAAGUGUAGCGGUGAAAUGCGUAGAGAUCUGGAGGAAUACCGGUGGCGAAGGCGGCCCCCUGGACAAAGACUGACGCUCAGGUGCGAAAGCGUGGGGAGCAAACAGGAUUAGAUACCCUGGUAGUCCACGCCGUAAACGAUGUCGACUUGGAGGUUGUGCCCUUGAGGCGUGGCUUCCGGAGCUAACGCGUUAAGUCGACCGCCUGGGGAGUANCGGCCGCAAGGUUAAAACUCAAAUGAAUUGACGGGGGCCCGCACAAGCGGUGGAGCAUGUGGUUUAAUUCGAUGCAACGCGAAGAACCUUACCUACUCUUGACAUCCAGAGAACUUUCCAGAGAUGGAUUGGUGCCUUCGGGAACUCUGAGACAGGUGCUGCAUGGCUGUCGUCAGCUCGUGUUGUGAAAUGUUGGGUUAAGUCCCGCAACGAGCGCAACCCUUAUCCUUUGUUGCCAGCGGUCCGGCCGGGAACUCAAAGGAGACUGCCAGUGAUAAACUGGAGGAAGGUGGGGGAUGACGUCAAGUCAUCAUGGCCCUUACGAGUAGGGCUACACACGUGCUACAAUGGCGCAUACAAAGAGAAGCGACCUCGCGAGAGCAAGCGGACCUCAUAAAGUGCGUCGUAGUCCGGAUUGGAGUCUGCAACUCGACUCCAUGAAGUCGGAAUCGCUAGUAAUCGUAGAUCAGAAUGCUACGGUGAAUACGUUCCCGGGCCUUGUACACACCGCCCGUCACACCA
rnacentral:rRNA from 1 species